rnacentral:lncRNA from 1 species
CAAUUUAUAAGUCUCCCCCACCGCCUCCCCCAGUAUAUAAGUCACCACCACCACCUCCUCCAGUGUACAAGUCUCCGCCACCUCCAGUCUACAAGUAUAAGUCACCACCACCUCCUUCCCCAAUUUACAAGUCACCACCACCACCUCCUCCAGUAUACAAAUCACCUCCACCACCUCCUCCAGUUUACAAAUCUCCACCACCACCAAUUUAUAAAUACAAGUCUCCUCCACUACCUCCUCCAGUGUACAAGUCAUCACCACCACCUGCUUACAAGUCUCCACCUCCUCCAGUUUACAGUUCCCCACCACCACCAAUCUACAAGUCUCCACCUCCACCCUACCAUUACUACUACAAUUCUCCUCCUCCUCCUCGUCACUACUAAGCAAUUGUAUCCAAGUUUUUGAGGUAAUAACGUUUAACCAAUAAAUUAACUUUCGCAUGAUAAACCUUAUCUCUAUCUAGACAAACUGCCAUGUGUAUAAUGCCAAAUACGUACACCUAGAUCCAUGAAAAUGAGUGGUAGAAAGUUUUCUUAAGAACCAAGGAACAGCAUUAGUAUUCCCUCUGCUUCCAAACACUUGUGUAUUAAAUAGAUUAAUGAAUUGUUUAACAUGCUCAUCUACUUGAAAAUGCACAAUACCCAUAACCCACUGAAAUUUUUGCAGGAAAAGGGAAAGAGAAUCUGUGUUUGAGAGCUUCAUGAAGAUGUUGAAGAAUAAGAAUAAAAGCCCAAUGCGAGGAUGUUUUCAAGUUUUUCUAUGUUUCCACUUUAAUUUGUAAAUUGAAUUUUGCGACUCAAUUAAUUCCCUGUUUGUGGGGUACGUAUUGUUUUACGUACCAUGCCGUACAUGUUUGUAAGGAUUUCUAUCCUAUUGGCAAAAGUCGGUUCCGUACAAUUAAUCAAUUCAUUUCACUUCUAUUGGCUCUACUAUUUAUGCAUGUUACGACAUUUUUUCUCUCUUUCCCUUAUAUUUUGCCUUUAAUAUUAUUGAGUCAAUAUUAAUAAUGGGCCUUUUUCUUAAAAUUAUACUAUUAUACAUAGGUAGUUUGGUCUAACGCUAAAUUCAUGUUUGUCUUUCUUUUAUUCCCUUUACAUCUCAAAGUAUACUAUAGUUUGUAAUCAUUGUGGUGAUGAUAUUACCAGCUGGUACUUAUAGUUUAAGGCAGAGACAUGAUAUUAACAACUAUCUCAUUGAAACAUAAGGAAAAAUCAUGACAAGUGUGAGUCUUGGUUAAUGCACAAUUUGUUAGUGGAAUUUAUAUUUAUAAAACUCAAAAAAAAUUUUUGACAAUGCUAUUACUAAUUAAUUAAGGACUUUAUUGCUAUAACUUAUCGCUUACUAGUUUAAACUAUAAAUGAUCUCAAUACUUUUCUCCAUGAUGUCGAUUUCUUUAGACUACGAAAGGGAAAAAUUAGUGACAUAUCCUCUACUGAUUACAACAUCAGCAAAAAUUAGUUAUAAACUUUUCCGGUGGUUUUAAAUCCCUCGGGCCCUAAGAUUUUUUGCUCAUCGAGUGAAUUAAGGAACAUAGGCAAUUCGUUCUACAUACCAAGUCCUUGUUUAAGAUGCAAGUACUAAAAUGCAUCCACUUCAUUAAUUUGGGAAAUUGCCAUAGUUUUUUUUAAGCAUUUUGAUUUUUUACAUGAUUCAAAAUUUUCUGAUUGGAUACAAUCACUUUGUAUCAAGAACACAUUUUCAAUCACCUUUUUUUAUCUUCUCAAUAAGAAAAUAAAAAUUUAUUCAUGCUUUUCUAACAUAUUCAAUCAUUGAUCUGAAAAUUAAAACAUUAAAAAAAAAGGACAUUUUCAAUCACUGCUUACAGGGCAACUUCCCCAUGUGAACCUCUUCAAACAAAGCCAAUAAUAUGAAGGAAUAUCUAAAUAUACUUUUGCCCUAAAGGCUGGUUGCCUUGGGGUCAAAAUUUAACCUUCCGGAGUAUAAUUACCCUGCCAAAUUUAUUUUUUUUUUAUGGGUAUAUAGUUCCAAUUUUGCCUCCUGUUAAGCUUAUAAAUAUAUUAUCACCCAGAAAAUAAAGGAAUCUUGAAUACUAACAUGUCCAUUGACUUGAGUUGUCAUCAAUUUGGCUACUUCGAUUCCAUGAGGCCAAUCCAAUUCACACUAGCUAGAGAAAAUGGUGACAAAGGCACUUAGAAAAUUAUAUGUAAUAUUGAUUGGUAGUAACCAGCUUGUAUUGAUUGGUAGUAACCAGCUUGUGCUCUUAUGAAAAAAAAAUUAGCAAAAUUUAUGAGAACAAUUAAAUUUAUUCGUACAAAUCAGUCAAAGAAGUAGUAUUUUAAAGACCGUGAUGAAAUUAAUACUUUCAAGGUUUCUAUUAGGAAGACUUCCUUUGUUGGUGAAACUACACUAGGCAGAGUUAUAUGGUAUCAAAAAAUAGUUGUAUUCACGUCUGUUCUUUUUUUCUUCCUUAAGUUUUUUUCUUUAUUCUCGUGACUUCAAAAAUACGAACUCAAGAAAUUGGCUGCUCAAUCAGUAUGUCAUACAGGCUUCGCUAGUGAGGUAUAACUUCACAACUAGAGCCAAUAGAAAUCGUCAAAUGAUUUUUUGACAUCCAAAUUAAGCAAUAAAUUUUGUUUUCAUUUCAUAACAUAUAAUAGUACUACUUCAUGGGAGAUUUUAUAGUUUCUUUAGGGUAUCAUACCUACAAGUGAUAUUUGUCAUUGGAUAGUGAAAGAAGUGUUAAUGACUGUAAGAUUAAAUAUUGUUAAAUAUUGAAAAUUUAAACUAUUUAUCUUUAUUGAGAGAUACAACUUAAAGAAUCCUACCCAAAAGAGACUAUAGAAUUUUCUCUGUUUUUCAUCAUCUGUAGACAUAAAUUUUGCCUAUACAAUGUGAUAGCAUUUUUUCAAAAAGACAAGAUGGAAAAUUGCCCCCCUUGAACGGAAAAUUGCCCCCUUGUCAAUUCUUUAAAAAAGAAUACUCGCUCCUGAACAUAGCCUGUUCAUCUACACUGUCCCGCAGAAUUCUAGAAAGUUAGGCAAAACUAGACUAGUUGACAGGUAUAAUCAUACCCAACAUCAGGAACAAGCAGUUGCACAUUUCAAAAUUCGCUGCUGCAACAACUAAUUUGAUGACUUACAACACUACACGGUCAAACUUUGAAUGGCAAUGGAUCUUUUGAUGUAAUUUUCAUGUUACAUACAUUAAUAGAUUGAUAUCUAUAUUCUUUAAAUUAUCGUAAUAAUACUCUUAAUUACAUUUAAUUGAUAAAAAGAACACGUGUCAACACACAAAAAUGUGUAAUGUGAAUGUUACAUUAGUGUAUAGCAGAAGACCUAUAGUCUCUUCACAUCUCUUCCUGCACGUAUCAAUUCGUUUCCUCUAGAUAAUAAUCUCCCAACUCAUUUCUUUACAAAUGCACCUUUUAUGUUUUAUUACCUCCAAAAGCCUUUACAGGGUCUUUACCCUAAAAAUCAAUUCACCGACUCGCAUUUGAUAUCAGAAAUUCUUAUUACGAAUUCUACUUUACUCAAAGAUUGACUGUUAAUAAUGAGACAACGACCAUUUUGUAUUAUUACACCGUCCUUCUUGAUAGGCAAAAGAAAUAGAGAGGAAAGCGGGUCCGUAUAUGGUCUUUUAUUCAUAGAUAAUACAACAUUACGCCAUCGAGCAUUCACACAAUAUUUCAAAGUCAUUGCAUGCCUAAGACCCUGUUUGAUAAUCCAAUUCCAUACUUAAAUUUAAUGGAUUUAAAUCUUAACACAUUCAAAUCGUUUGAUAACAAAAAAUUGAACAUUUAAAUUAAUUAAGUAACACUGGAUUUCCAAGACAAAACUUGCUCCCAAAAUUAAGUGAUAAGUGAAUAACUUAUCACUGAAUGUAUGUAUUAGAUUUAAUACUUAAUAAUUUAAUAAUUUAAUGAAUUCAGAUUUCAGAUUUCAGAUUUCAGAUUUCAGUUUUCAGUUUUAUCACACACACCCUAAGUUACAAAUUAAUACCAAAACUUGUUAUUAUAUAGCUUGAGAUUCAAAAAUUUAGAGCAUAAUUCUCAACCUAACACAAUUGAAUAAUGAAUAUUCACGAUUGUCAAAACUAUCAAAGUACAAUUUGAGGACAACCCAUUCCAACGCGUACACGAUUUUUAACUUUUCUAAAGUUGUUGAGAGCUGUUGAAAGAGAUUUACCAUGUUUACAUCUUCCAAGUCUUGGGAGUAAAAAAUGAAGCCACUGAGUGCUAUAAAAAGGGGGCUAGAGGCUGCCUAGAAGCAUAUCAGCCUAAAACAAGAAUUUGUAGUAACAAUGGGGAGCAAAGCAAAAGCAACGGAGUCUAGGCUGACUCCUCUUCUUACCACUGUUUUAGUGGUAUUUGUUGCCCUUGGCUUGCCCUUGGAAACUGCAGCUGAUUAUUACAAGUAUUCAUCUCCUCCUCCUCCUCCUUACCACUAUUCCUCACCACCACCUCCUGAGUAUUCACCUCCACCAACCCCUGUUUAUAAGUUACCCCCACCAUCUCCUCCAGUUUACAAGUCCUCACCGCCACCUUACCACUACUCACCACCUCCGGUGUAUUCACCUCCACCAUCACCAGUUUACAAGUCACCGCCACCACCCCCUCCAGUAUACAACUCCCCGCCUCCACCAGUGUACAAAUACAAGUCCCCACCGCCACCUCCUCCAGUUUACAAAUCUCCACCGCCACCAAUUUACAAGUACAAGUCACCCCCACCACCUCCUCCGGUAUACAAGUCUCCUCCGCCACCUGUUUACGAGUACAAGUCUCCUCCACCACCUCCUCCAGUGUACAAGUCUCCACCACCUCCAGUUUACAAGUACAACUCACCACCACCUCCUCCCCCAGUUUACCAAUCUCCACCACCACCAGUUUACAAAUACAACUCACCACCACCUCCUCCCCCAGUUUACCAGUCUCCACCUCCACCCUAUCAUCACUACUACGGUUCUCCUCCUCCUCACCACUACUAAGCAAGUGCAUCUAAGUUUUGAGGUAAUAAUACCUAUCCAAAACUUUAUCAACACAAACUGCCAUGUAUAUCAUGCUAAGGACGUACACUUGAUCCAUGAAAAUGACUUGUAGAAGAUUUUUUUUAAGAACCAAAGAAAUACAUUAUUUUUUCGGUCUGUUUUCAAGAAUUUGAGCAGUAUACAGAUUAAAGAGUGUUUUUUUUUUUAAACUUGCUUAUCAACUUAGAAAUGCACAUAGCUGAAAGCCAACUGAAUAUUUGCAGGCAAAGGAGAAGACAAUCGGUGUUUGCGACCUUCAAGAAGAUGUAGAAGAAUAAGAAUAAAAGCCCAAUGCGAGGAUGAUUCCAAGUUUCUACGUUACCAUUUCUACAUCUAAAUUGACUCUAGCUCCUGAGUUCCAUGUUUAUGGGGUUUGUACCGUUUUACGUACCAUGCAGUGCAUGCUUGUAAGGUUUUCUGUCCUGUUGGCAAACUGCAGGUCCAUAUAAUAAAAGAAUACUAUUUAUAUUACGACACUUUUCUCUCUUUCUCUUAUAUUUUGUCUUUAAUAUUGUUGAUCAUUUUUUUUUAUUUAUCAAAAGUAUCAAAUGUUUAGGUAAUUUGGUCUAAUGCUAAUUGUUUUACUUCUCUUUUUCACCUACACCCCUUUUCAACUCAAAGGAUGCUAUAGUUUGUGAUAAUUGUUUAAGACCGAAGCAUGAUACUAAUAAAUAUCUCAUUGAAAGUCAAGGAAACUAACAUUAUGAAAAGUGUAAAUCUUGAUUUGAUGAAACUAUUUAUUCGUGGAAUUUAGAGAUACAAAACUCAAAUUGUGACGGUGCUGUUGCUAAAUUAUUAAGGACAUUAUCACCACUAUUUUUCCCUUACUAGUUUCAACUGCAAUGAUCUCAAUCUUUUUGUGACUAAUUCUUUUCUUAAUAAUUUAUAAAUACAAAACUCACAAAGAAUAUGUGACUAAUUCUUUCCUUUCGUCUUCUAAAGAAAAUGGCAACUGUUAGUUUAUCAAGGGAAAAAGGAUCGACAUCAGUUGUUAUUGAAACUAGUAAGGAAAAAAUAAUGGUGAUAAUGUCCUUAAUAAUUUAACAACAGCACCAUCAGAAUUUGAGCUUUGUAUCUAUAAAUUCCACGAAUAAAUAGUUUCAUCAAAUCAAGAUUUACACUUUUCAUAAUGUUAAGUUUCCUUGACUUUCAAUGAGAUAUUUAUUAGUAUCAUGCUUCGGUCUUAAACAAUGAUCACAAACUAUAGCAUCCUUUGAGUUGAAAAGCGAAGUAGGUGAAAAAGAGAAGUAAAAAAUACAAUUAGCAUUCCCUCAAAUCGUAGAAAGUUAGGUAGCAUUAUAGACAAGUUGAUAGCCGUAAUGAUACUAAAAAUCAGGCAAAAGCCAGCAAUUUUACAUUUCAAAAUUCACCUAUCCAAUAACUAAUUCGAUGGCUUGCUACAUGGUCAAUCUUUGGACCCCUUCCUGCCACCACAUAUCCCUUUCCUCAAUCAGGGGCUUCUACAAUUACCAGUUCCAAUUGUAUGGUAUAGUGUAAAUAUCAACAAAUCAGAUGUAGACGCUAAUUUAAUAAAUGUGGAUGCUAAGACAACAACAUACAAAAACAUAAUAAAUUUUGGCAUUCCUUAAAAAAAUUAAGUCCCCAAAUCAAUCUCAUACACCCAAUUUCUAAUUUAAUUUAACCCAUUCCCUCUAUUAACUACACCAUACAAUACAAUCGAACCCAUUCCCUUCUAAUUUCUUCACAAAAUGCACCUUUCAUCACCGACAUGAUCUUUACCCUAGAAGACUAUUCACCGACUCUCCAUUGACGUCAGAAAAUCUAAGAGUAAUUCUACUUUACCCUAAGAUUGAUAUCAACGAGACAAUAAUGACAAUUUAGAAUUAUUACACGCCUCUUCUUAAUAGGAAAAAGAAAUACAGAAGAAAGUCAGGCCAGGUCUAAUUCUUUUUCAAAGGCAAUACAAUAUUACGAAAUCAAGCAGUCAUUCAUACAAAUAUUUCAUAGUCACCGGCCGGGGUUUGCUGAGUAGAAAAGUUUAUACAAAAACUUAAUAUUAUAUUGUUUAAGAGUUAACAAUUUAGAGCUUAAUCUCCUUGUACUUUGGACUAAACUCGAACGUGAAAGGAAAUCCCAAAACCAUAUUGGGCAUGAAUUCACACUUAAUAGACCCAAAAGAAGAUGGCGACUGGUGAAAGGCAGUGGAGACUGGUGGAGAGAUUUGAGGAAUAGAAGCAGACGGAAAAGCAACAAAUUUUUGCCGAAAAACGGUCACUUUCAUGGUUAAUUUUGCUACUCUCUAAUUGUACUUGACCAAAUACAACAAUUUCAUGGAGUUUGAUACACAAGCCCAAAUACACGAGAGUGUGUAACCUGAAUUGUUACUUAUACAUUAGUGUGUAAUAGAACGGCAAGCAUUAUGGUGGUCAUUGAGCAACUUAUAGAAGAAAUAGUCCUAUAAGCUGUUCGAUGACCAAUCGCAACUUGCUAAUUGGAUGACUAAUAUAGCUCUAGCUGUAAUGUUUUAAUUAAAUUCCAUCACUAACGUUGGGAUGACUUUUUAACCAAAAAAAAAAAAAAAGCCUUAGUUCAAGCUUUUCCCCUUAUUGUGCAUUUUUUAAAACAUUUGAUAGGCACUGCAAAUCUGUCAUUUUGGACAUCAACCCAUAUCCAACACAAGAUUAAAUUAAUAUUAGAAAAAAUUAUUACGUAAUUGGAAAAAAAAAAAGAAGAGACUAAUUUUCAUUGAAACCCACCGACAAACUAAGCGUGUCCAUAGCUUUUGAUUAGUUCAUUGCCGAUCACAUGGAGUAAAGAUUGUGCUCUUUCCCUUUCCCCCCCUUUUGGAAUCGAUACUGUGGAGAAUUGGCUUUUUCCCUCCUUUUUUUCUUUUCUUUUCUUUUCUUUCCUUCUGUACUUUGCAAAACAUAGGUAAAAAUAUGAAAUCCGAAGCAUUCUUUAAUUGGGAUUAAGUAUUGUUCUUGAAAUUAAAAAAAAAAAGAAAGAAAGAACAACAAAAAUCCCAAUCUGGGUUGAUUGUUGAGCUCUAGAUUGGCUGCAUCGUGCUUCCAUAGAAGUUCUCUUAGUGUGAUACGCUGCUUUCAAUCAGUUUUAACACGGGAAAAAGAAAAGACAUGAAAAGCAAAUUUUGUGGGGAUAAUUUCGGUAACCUCCCCUGAAGUUUUUGACUAUUUUACUGGCCUCCCUUCAGAUUUUAAAAAUUGCACUAAUCUUCCUUAAAGUUAAUUAUCUUGUAACAUUUAGAUCCAAUCAAUAAUUUAAAAAAUGAUAUUAUGAGAGAGAAAAUAAUAUGAUUUUAUCAUUGCCCCCAUCUUACUACAUUAUUUAAUUAAUUUAAUAGCAACCCACACAUUAAAGAAAAAUGCAAAAAUUUGUUGUUUAUCAUUAAAGAUCAUCAUAUCGCAUAUAACAUCAAAAAAUAGUAUAUUAUUUAUAUUUUUCACUUAAUAUAAUAUCCAAAUUACUCUUUUCAGUUACAUACCCAUUGUUAGACAAAAUCAACAACAAAUAACCAAAAAAUUUGCAACCAAAAUAUUACAAAAAAAUAAACUUUAACAUCAUAAAUAUUUUUAUCAACAUAUUAAAGUUAGUUAUUGAAAUUUUUAUGGUGUUAAACUUCACUCUUUGUAAUAUUUUGGUUACAGAUUUUUUUGAUUAUUUGUUGUUGAUCGUGUUUGACAAUGGAUUUGUAACUGAAAAGAACAAUUUGGAUCUUACAUUAAGUGAAAUAUAUAAAAAUAUUAUACUAUUUUUUAUGGCAUAUGUGAUUCUUUUUUUUUUUUUUUUUUUAUCAGAACGGCAACAUUGUAUUAAUAGUAAACCAAUUACAGUAUAGGUGGGCAACCGCCCUCACAAUCUGCCUGGACUUGUUCCAGCAGCCAAACUGGGAAGUUUUCCUUCCAUUCAGUAUUUUGUUCCAAAGUAAUAGCUACUUUAGCUAGUUUAUGGCUAACAAAGUUGUUCACCCUAUUUGCAAAGGUAAAACAACAUUCAUCAAAUUUUAUUCAUGUACAAUUGUUGCUAUCACCACGUCCUCCUCCUCCUCCUCACUGCACACUACUUGACUACCACCCUUCGCCAACCUUGCUGUUGCAUGUGCAACUAUCAUGGCCUCUCUUAGCGCCUUUGCUUCUUCGACCUUUGGACUGGCACAGCUAAAAUUUGGAACAGCCCAGGCCCACCCGCAAUCUUCCCAACCAAUCCCUGGCCACCCUUUUCCCACCCAGCUUCUAUGGCAUGUGUGAUUCAAUCCUUCUUGAUAGGAUUGGUAAUAGAGGCAGAGGGGGGAGCCGGCUGCAUCCGGUCUACUUUUCAUAGAUAGUACAAUAUUGCGAAAUCGAUCGCAUUCACACAAGAAUAUUUCGAAGUCAUUGCAUCGCUAAGUUGCAAAAAAGUACAAACACUUGUUAUUAUAUAGCUUAAGAUUCAAAACUUUAGAGCACAACCCUCCACCUAACACAAUUGAAUAAUGAAUAUUCACGAUUGUCAAAUCUGUCAAAGCACAGUUUGAGGACAACCCAUUCCAACCUGCAAAAGAUUUUUGACUUUUUUAAAGUUGUUGAGAGCUGUAAAAAGACUUACCAUGCUUACAUCUUCCGAGCCUUGGGAGUUAAAAAUGAAGGCACUGAGUGCUAUAAAAAGGGGGCUAGAGGCUGCCUAGAAGCAUAUCAGCCUAAAACAAGAAUUUGUAGUUAUGAUGGGAAGCAAAGCAAAAGCAAUGGGGUCUGGGCUGACUCCUCUUCUUACCACUGUUUUAGUGGUAUUUGUUGCUCUUGGCUUGCCCUCAGAAACUGCAGCUGAUGAUCACUACAAGUAUUCAUCUCCUCCUCCUCCUUACCACUAUCCCUCACCACCACCUCCAGUGCAUUUACCUCCACCAGUGUACAAAUACAAGUCCCCACCACCACCUCAUCAUGUUUACAAGUACAAAUCUCCACCACCCCCACCACCACACCCAGUUUACAAGUAUAAGUCGCCACCACCACCUCCUCAUCCGGUAUACAAGUACAAGUCUCCUCCGCCACCUCCUCAUCCGGUACCACACCCAGUUUACAAGUAUAAGUCACCACCACCACCUCCUCAUCCGGUACCACACCCAGUUUACAAGUAUAAGUCUCCUCCGCCACCAGUUUACAAAUAUAAGUCUCCUCCACCACCACCUCCAGUGUACAAAUACAAGUCUCCACCACCACCAGUUUACCACUACAAGUCUCCACCACCUCCUCCCCCAGUUUACAAAUACAAGUCUCCACCACCACCAGUUUACCACUACAAGUCUCCACCACCUCCUCCCCCAGUUUACAAAUACAAGUCUCCACCACCACCACCACCAGUUUACCACUACAAGUCACCACCACCUCCUCCCCCAGUUUACAAAUACAAGUCUCCACCACCUCCUCACCACUACUAAGCAAUUGCUUCUGAGGUAAUAACACUUGUUCAAUAUACACACUUCUGCAUGAUAAAACAUAUCUCUAUCAACACAAACUGUCAUGUCUAUCAUGCUAAGUGCCUUCACUUCAUCCACGAAAAUGACUGCUAGAAAAUUUUUUUUUAAGUUACCAAAGAAAAGCAUCAUUUUUUCCCUCUGUUAUCAAGAACUUGUACAGUAUGUAGAUUAAAGAGUUUUUAUUUUAACUAGCUUAUCAACUUAGAAAUGCAUAUAACUGAUAGCCAGCUGAAUAUUUGCAGGCAAAGGAGAAGGAAACCAGUGUUUGGACCUUCUUGAAGAUGUAGAAGCAUAAGAAUAAAAGCCCAAUGUGAAGAUGAUGAUUUCAAGUUUUUCUACGUUACCAUUUCUAUAUCUAAAUUCGUUGUAGCGCCUUAGUUCCUUUGUUUAUGGGAUUUGUAUCGUUUUACGUACCAUGCAGUACAUGUCAUGUUUGUAAGGUUUUCUAUCCUGCCGGCAAAUCGCAGGUUCCAUGUAAUAAAUCAAUACUAUUUAUAUUACGACACUUUUCUCUGUUUCUCUUAUAUUUGUUUGGAUUGAGCUUUAUUUCCCCAAAUUUAUUUGCUUACAUCAUCAUUACAAUUUCUAAUACACCUUUUUACCUUCCCGAUUACCUUUUUAUCUCACAUACAUCACAUCACAAAAAGUGCUACAGUAAAAAUAUCUCUAAUAAUUCACAAUCCAAACAGACUUUUGUCUUUAAUAUUCUUAAUCAUAUUUUUAACAAAAAUAUUCAAAUACUUAGGUAAUCUGGUCUAAUGCUAAUUGUAUGUUUUACUUUUCUUUUUCACCUGCUCCCCUUUUCAACUCAAACGGAUGCAAUAGUUUGUGAUCCCUGUUUAAGACGGAAGCAUGAUACUAAUGAAUAUAUCAUUGAAACUCAAGGAAACUAACAUUAUGAAAAGUGUAAAUCUUGAUUUGAUGCAACUAUUUAUUCGUGGAAUAUAUAGUUACAAAACUCAAAUUCUGACUGCGCCAUUGAUAAAUUAUUAAUGACGCUAUCAUCAUUAUUUAUCCCUAACUAGUUUCGACUACAACUGAACCCAAUAUUUUCCCCAUGAUAAAAGUUUUUGACUAUUUUACUGGCCUCUCUUCAAAUUUUAAAAAUUACACUAAUCUUCAUUGAGAUUAAUUAUCUUGUAACAUUUAGUUCCGAUCAAGAAUUUAAAAAUGAUAUUAUGAGAGAAAAAAUAAUAUAAUUUUAUCAUUGCCCCCCAUCUUGCUAUAUUAUUUAAUAAAUUUAAUAGCAACCCACACAUUAAAGAAAAAUACUAAAAUUUGCUACUUUUCAUUAAAGAUCAAAUUGCAUAUGCCAUAAAACAUAGUAUAUCAUUCUAUGUGUUUCACCUAAUGUAAGAUCCCAAUUGUUAUUUUCAAUUACAAACCCAUUGUCAAACAUGAUCAACAACAAAUAACCAAAAAAUUUGCAACCAAAAUAUUACAAAAAAAAAUAAACUUUAACAUCAUAAAUAUUCUUACCACCUCCAGUGCAUUCACCCUCACCAACCACUAGUUUACAAGUCACCCCCACCACCUUACCACUAUUCCUCACCGCCACCCACAGUGCAUUCACCUCCACCACCACCUGUUUAUAAGUCACCUCCACCACCUUAUCAUUAUUCGUCACCACCAUCUGCAUUGCUUUCACCUCCAUCAUCACCAGUUUACAAAUCACCACCACCAUCUUCCCCAGUGUACAAGUCCCCUCCACCACCAAUUUACAAGUCUCCGCCGCUAUGUCCCCCAGUAUAUAAGUCAUCCCCACCACCGCCUCCAAUGUACAAGUCUCCGCCGACACCAAUCUACAAGUACAAUUCACCACCACCCAUGCCUCCAGUUUACAACUCCUUGCCACCACCUAUUUACAAACACAAGUCUCCCCCACCACUUCCUCCGGUAUACAAGUCAUCUCCACUGCAUCCUCCAAUUUAUGAGUCUCCUCGUCCACCAGUUUACGAGCACAAGUCUCCUCCACCGCCUCCUCCAGUAUAUAAGUCACCACCACUAUCUCCUCCAGUACAUGUCUCCACCACCGCCUAUUUACAAAUCUCCGCCUCCUCCAGUUUACAAUUCCCCACCACCACCAAUAUACAAGUCUCCACCUUCAUCCAACCAUUACUACUAUAAUACUCCUCCUCCUCCUUCGCACUACUGAGGAAUUGCAUCCAAGUUUUGAGGUAAUAACGCGUAACCAGUAUAAACUUUUGUAUGAUAAACCUUAUCCCGAUCAACACAAACUGCCAUGUGUAUCAUGCUAAGUACGUACGCUUAGAUCCAUGAAAAUGACUAGUAGAAGGUUAUCCUAAGAACCAAGGAACAUUAGUUUUCCCUCUGUUUCCAAAAACUUGUGUUUGUUUAACAUGCUUAUCAACUUGGAAAUGCGCAUUGCUAAUAGCCAACUGAAAUUUUUGCAGGCAAAUUGGGAAGAGAAUCAGUGUUUGAGCGGUUCAUGGAAGAAUAAGAAUAAAAGCCCAAUGCGAGGAUGUUCUCAAGUUUAUUAAUGUUUCCGUUCUAUUUUGUAAAUUGAUUUUUGCGACUUAAUUAAUUCCCUGUUUGUGGGGUUCGUGUUGUUUUACCUACAUGCCAUACAUGUUUGUAAUGAUUUUUAUUGCAAAAUGCCGGUCCAAUAAAAUAACUGUAUUCAUUUUGUGUCUUUUGAGUAAACUUCUAUUGGUUCUACUACUUAUUUUACGAUAUUUUUUUUCUCUCUUUCUCUUACAUUUUCCGUUUAAUAUUAUUGAUAAUUUUUUUAACAAAAAAGGUUGAUAUACUUAGGUAGUUCACUAGUUUGGUCUAAUCCUAACUUCAGGCUUGUCUUGUCUUUUAUCUCUACAUACCUUUUCAACUCAAAGGAUGCUACUAUAAUUUGUGAUCAUUGUAGUGGUGAUAUUCCGAGCUAUUACAUAUAAUUUAAGGCAGAGAUUUGAUCCUAGCGAGUAUCUCACUGACAGAUUAGGAAACAUCAUGAAAAGCGUAUAUCUUGAAUUAGUGCAACUAUUUCUUAGGGGAAUUUAUAGUUACAAAAUUCCAAAUUUUGAGAUUCUAUUACUGAUUAAUUAAGGACGUUAUCACUAUUUUUUUUUAAUUAUCACCAUUAAAUACCCCACAUACUAUAAGUUUUUUUAGGGCACAGGAAAAGAGGUGGGCCGAUGUUUAGUUAUCUACAAAAGUUCAAAUUUUGUAGAUAAAUUAUCAUGCGCCCUUAAAGAGUGCAGAAUACCAAAAAAAAAAAAAAAAAAAAAUCAUAUACUAUAACUAAUCCUAAUAUUUUUCCCUACGAUAAACUAACUCUUAUCCAUUUCUUUAGAUGAUGAAAGGAAAUAGUUAGUCACAUAUCCUCUAGUGAUUACAACAGCAUCAAAACAAAUUAGCACUCUUUUCCCGUAGUUUAAAAAUCCCUCAGCCACUAAGAUUUUGCAUAUCGAACGAAUUAAGGAACAUAGGCGCUUCGUGCUGGACAACAGUGUCCUUGUUGACGAUGCAUCCGCAUAUACUUCCUUAAGCAUUUUGAUUAUUUUAUGAUUCGAAUUUUUCUUGUCUGACAGCUGGACUUAAUUGAAAAACUCAAGUAAUAAUAUUCCAAAGCUGAUUCGUCAAAGUUUACCCAAUUGGUGAAACUUUCUUAAUAGAGCUGACUUUGUAUUACGUGACAAUGAUAUGGAUGCUCAAAGUUUUCAAUGGGAAAUUUAUAUGAGCUUUUCACGACAAAAUGUGUUCCGAUAAAGGUUCAUUCCAGAGGUUAAAAUUUUGUUUGUUAAAAAUUUACUUCUCAAGUCUUUGAUGCGAAAGUCUUGGUAUUUCCAAAAAGUCUUGAAAUCGCAGCAUAUAAGCCACUUUCUGUUCUCUUUUUUUCAUUGAAGUCUUUCCAAAUGUCAGUUCCAAAAGGAGUUUUUUAUGAAUUAUGAUAGAUAAUUAAUCUGACGGUCCAUAUAUAUGUGAUUUGCAAGAGGGUGUUUGGCGAAAUGGUUAGGCUUUCUAAGUAAUGAUAGGAAUGCCAUUUGCAAAGAAGGACAGGGGGCCUGUGCUGUCAUAUUUUAUGCGAUUUGAUCCGUUGUUGUAUAAGUUUAAAUUUUUGACGUGCAAUUGUGCUACAAUAUUAUACUAAAUAUAUGUGUGAAAUAUUUUGUCUAUAUACAUCACUUUUAUCGUGAAUACAACAGCUGAGUAUAAUAAUAUAAUAUAAUGUAAUUAUACACCAAAUAAUGUAACAAAUAUAACAAUCGAUCUGAAUUACACGAAAUCAUAACAACAAGAUCACCGCCUCCCAAAUUUUACAAAAUAAGGUUUUUUUUUUCUUUUAGAUUAUUGAAAAUUUUCAAAAAUAUUCUACAUAAUUUAAAUUUUUGUCCUACAAAAAUUAAAAGAGAUUUUAUAUUGCACGCUUAAGCUUAGAUAUAUUAAAGUUUGCCCCCAAGAUUAAUUUUCCGUUUUUAUCUAUGGUUUCUCAUCUAUGAGCCGAUCCAUAUAGCUAGUUAGACUGUACUCCUCACAUUUGUGGGAUUUGACACCCAAGAUUCUCCUUCUUGGAAUGUAAAAUGUAGAUCUUCUAUGUUAAUAAUUCAGGACCCAACUGUCAUAAACGAAAUGACUGAUCAACUCCUGUAAAUCUAAUUUAACAACAUUUAAAUGGAGAACUUUAGCUAAAAGAAUUAUGGUUAUUUUCCAACAUAUGCAAUCAUUGAUCAGAAUAUAUAUAUAUAUAUGUAAAAGACAUCUUCAGUCAUUUCAUAGCUUACCAGGCAAAUUAACCCCUAAGUGAACCUCUUCGAACAGAACUGACAAUAUGGAUGAAGAUCUGGAUAUUCUUUUAUCCUGACUCCUAAGGGAAAACUGGUUGAUCUAGAAUCAAAAUUUUACCCUAGUUACCCAGGCAACUUUUUUGUUGCCUUUUUUUUUUUUGGUAUAAAGCUCCAAUUUUGCUCCCUCUGUUAAGCUUAUAAUGCAUAUAAUUAUUAAGAUAAUAAAAGUGCCUUGAAUAGUAUUAAUAUAUGCAUUGACUUGAGCUGUCAUCAGUUCGGCCACUUCGAUUCCAUGAGGCCUUUUCAAUUCACACUAGCUAGAAAAUGGGGAGUCGUGAAAACCUUUUGUUCUAUUCAUUGCUAAGAUGCUUUUCUCUAUAAAGAGACUUCCUAACGAAAAUACUUUGUAGAUUUCUUUACUCCAAGUGGUGCAUGAAAAAUUAAUAUUUUCAAUUAACAAAUAAAAUUCCCUUUUUUUGGUGUAGAUUUCAUCCAUCCAGCUGUUAACACAUUCUAUAAAUCCGAAUUGACUAAUCUUUUCAUUUCCAUUUUCCAACUUGCGAAUACGGCAUCUUAUAUAAUGUCUGCUAAACACUAUAUAUUCUCUGCCAAAUAUGAAUACAUAUCACUUUUCUGAGCAAGUGCAGAGUCAUUAUCAUUUUUAUUCCCACAUAACAAAUUAGUGGUUGAGCAUCUUUACAUGCUAUCAGGUCACAAGUUAAUAAUCUUUUAAAGAACAUGUUAAAUUAAUUUAUUGGUAUGAAUAGUCAAAGAAGUAUGUUAAAGUUAGCAAUCUUUAAAAUAAUAUGUUAAAAUCAUUAGUACAAAUUAGUCAGAGAAGUAGCAUAAACACCACGAUGCAAUUAAUACUUUCAAUCUCAAGGUCUCUCUUACGGAAAUUUGCAUCGGUCAACAUACACAAAGCAUAAUUGUAUGCACGUCUCUCUAUCAUGGAAUUUGCAUAGGUCAAUAUACACUUGGCAUAGUUGAUAGUUGUAUGCGCGUAGGCAUGGCCAUGGUUCCAUUUGGAACUGGGAAUCAGACCGAAACCGGAUCGUUUGGAACCAGAUCAGAACCGGAAUCAAAACCAUGAAACCAGAACCGUGAUAGAACCUUGGAUAAAGGUUCCGGUUCUGGUUCUCUAAAAAAUAGAACCAGAACCAGAACCGUUAAAAAUAAUUAAUAUAAGUGGUGAGAUAAUUCAAAAAAAAUUAGUUGUGUUUAAUAGGUUUUAAGAAAGUUUAAAUUUUAUGGACUUUCUAUAUAUUUUAUUAAUUAUUUAAUUCUUUCUAUUCAUCUAAUAUUUAUCAUUAUAAUUUGCAAGUAUUAAAUUAUUACUUAAAAUUUUUUUUUUUUUUUGCUUAUUUGCUAUCAAAUGACAAGUUUUGAUGGUAGUAGCUCAUCUUCAAAAUCAAGCAAGCAAAAAAAUAUUUUUUGCAAUAUUUCUUCAAAUGGAAUCUUCAACAUUGAUGAUUGUCCAACUCAAGAAAGUCAACAUAUGACAACCAUUUGAUAGUGUAAUGUAUUUUUUAAUUUGACAAUGUAAUGUACUUUUCAUAAAAUUUAUAUUAUCUAUUUAUUACUUCUUACUUUGUAGAAUAAUAAUAAAAUUAAAAUAUGAUCUUUAUUUUGUAUUUAUUUUUUUACGUUUUAUUUGAAAUUUUAAAUAUAUUGUUAUAUUCGUAUUAAAAUUGGUAAGGAUAAGGAAUUAAAUAAAAUUGUAUAUAACCAUACAGAACCGGAAACCGGAACCAGAACUAUAAGGAACCAAAAUCAGAACUAUGCGGUUCUGGUUCUACCUCUUUGAAGAACCAGAACCAGAACCAUUUUAUAUGGUGCGGUUCUGGUUCUACCUUUUUUAAGAACCAGAACCGGCGGUUCUAGAACCGUGGUCAUGCCUAUAUGCACGUCUUUUAUUUUAUUUUAUUUUAUUUUUUGGUACUGUUCUUCCUUGCUUUAUAGUAUGCACGUUUAUUUCUUUGGAUUGCUUAAGAUUAUAUUGUUAAUAAUAGGGCAUUUAACCAUAAAUUAUAAUAAUUAUGAAGUAAUAUAUAUUAGAAAAUUAACACAAUUAUGAUUUUUUUUUUUUGUAAAUUCAAAUUUUAUUAAUAAGAAAUGAAAUAGACCGUAAGCAAAAACAAAAUCCUACAACAACUCUAGGACUCUACACCUUAUAUAAAAAAAAACUAGGACUCUAUACCUCAGAGAAGCUAAACAAUCCAACAAAUAAAAUGCAAAAUAAAUCACAAUAACGCAAAUUAUGUUAAGCUAAUAAAUACUACCAUGCAACAAAAUUUUUGUCUUUGUCCCGCGUGAAACUACGAAGUCAAGAAUUGACUCCUUUAACCAGUAUUGCCAGCGGGGCUCCGUCAGCAAGAUACAACUUUGCAAUUUUAUACAAUAGAAAUCCUCAAAUAGCUAUUUUGACAGGCAAAUUAAGCAUUAAUUUUGGUAUCCCUUCAUAAAAUACAAGAGUACUUUUGAUUAUAUCUAUAGAUCAACUUUCUAGGCUUGAUGUAUUAUAAGAAAAAUCUGCCUAAACAUUUUGAUAGCAUUUUUCCAAAAGCAGAAGAUGGAAAAUUGCCCAUUUGUAAUGGGGAGUUCGUGAUCUUUUCCUCAUUCUAGUCUACUUACAAUUCUUGGAAAAAGGAAUACUCACAUCUCAAACAACAGCCAGCUCAUCUGCGCUGUCCUGCAGAAUUCUAGAAAGUUAGGUGGCAAUGUUAAUAACAUUUCAAAAUUGACUGCUGCGAUAACUAAUUCGAUGGCUUACUACAUGGUCAACGUUUGGAUCCCUUCCUGCCGGCACUGUCCUUUUUGGAUGCACAUUUUUUUUCUCUAGGUAAUAUAAUCACCCAACUCAUUUCUUUACAAAUGCACCUUUAAUCACCACCAAAAGGUGUGGACAUGAUCUUUACCCUAGAAAACUAUUCACCGACAGGCAAAUUGACGUCAGAAAUACUAAGAGGAAUUCUAGUUUCCUUCGGGUUAAUGCCAUUUUGUACCCUUCAACUGUAACUCGAUUUCUAAGCUGUAAUUUGUGACAUUAUAGUCCUUAAACUAUGAAACCCUUCUUACUUAAGUAUAAUGGUUAAUACAAUACUGGUGAUUAGACAAGUAUGAAGCAACCAUAACAAAAAAAAAUCCAAAAUUAGAGAAAAGAAAGAUGUUUCGCGACCAAAGUAUGUAUCAAGGCAUAGUAUAGAAAUAAAAGUGUCAAAAUUAAGAGUUUAGGGAUAAAAAAGAAUCAAGAUAUAGUUUAGGGAUUGAUUUGUCUCAAUUAGAGCUUAGGUGUCAACUAAGAAGAGAGAUAUAGUUGAAGGGUAGAAUAUAGAUAUAAAGGUUCAAUGAUUGAUAUCAGUGAGACAAUGAUAACUUUGGAUUAUUACCAACCUCUUCUGGAUGGGAAAAGGAAAUAGAGAAGAAAGUCGGGCCUGGUCUAAGCCUGUUUCGGAGGCAAAACAACAUUAUGAAAUCACCGGCAUUCAGACAAAUAUGUCAAAGUCACCGGCAUGCUAAGUUGCAAAAUUUAUACAAACACUUAAUAUUAUAUUGUUCUUAAAAUUUUUGUUUAAGAUUUAACAAUUAGAGCACGGUACACGAAUUAGAAAUAUUAAAUAAUGAAUGUUCACGAUUGAUAAAGUUAUCAAAGUACAGUUUGAGGACAACCCAUUCCAACGUGUACAAGAUGUUUAGCCUUUGAAAAGUUAAUUAGAGAAGGUGACGAGAUUUUACGAGGCUGACAUCAUCUAGGCCUCGAGAGUAAAAAAUGAAGACACUGAGCGCUAUAAAAAGAGGGCUAGAUGUUGCCUAGAAGCAUAUCAGCCUCAGACCACGUUUUGUAGCAAUGGGGAGCAAAGCAAAAGCAAUGGGGUCUAGGCUGACUCCUCUUCUUACCACCGUUUUAGUGGUAUUUCUUGCUCUUGGCUUGCCUUCAGAAACUGCAGCUGAUUACUACAAGUAUUCAUCUCCUCCUCCUCCUUACCAUUAUUCCUCACCACCACCUCCUAUGCAUUCACCCCCACCACCGCCAGUUUAUAAGUCACCCCCACCACCUUACCACUACUCCUCACCGCCACCUCCAGUGUAUUCAUUUCCACCACCUUUGCCAAUAUACAAGUCUCCGCCACCACCUUACCAUUAUUCCUCACCACCACCCCCAGUGCAUUCACCCCCACCACCACCAGUUUACAAGUCUCCCCCACCACCUUACCAGUAUUCCUCACCACCACCUCCGGUGCAUUCACCACCACCUCCUCCAGUUUACAAGUCCCCGCCACCACCUUACCAUUAUUCCUCACCACCACUUCCAGUGCAUUCACCUCCACCAUCACCGAUUUACAAGUCUCCACCACCACCUUACCAAUAUUCCUCACCACCACCUCCACUGCAUUCACCUCCACCACCACCGAUUUACAAGUCACCUCUACCGCCUCUUCCAGUUUACAAGUCUCCGCCACCACCUUACCACUAUUCCUCACCACCACCUCCGGUGCAUUCACCUCCACCACCACCGGUUUACAAGUCACCUCCACCACCUCCUCCAGUUUACAAGUCCCCGCCACCACCUUACCAUUAUUCCUCACCACCACCUCCGGUGCAUUCACCUCCACCACCACCGGUUUACAAGUCACCUCCACCACCACCUCCAGUUUACAAGUCCCCGCCACCACCUUACCAUUAUUCCUCACCACCAACUCCAGUGCAUUCACCCCCAUCACCACCAGUUUACAAGUCUCCGCCACCACCUUACCAUUAUUCCUCACCACCAUCUCCGGUAAAUUCACCUCCACCACCACCGGUUUACAAGUCACCUCCACCACCUCUUCCAAUUUACAAGUCCCCGCCACCACCUUACCACUAUUCCUCACCACCACCUCCAGUGCAUUCACCCCUACCACCACCUGAUAGGGUAUAAUUUGUUAGUAUUUUUAUUAUUAAUUUUCCCUUCUAUCCCUGACAAAUAUUGUGUUAAUUGCUGAUAUUUACUCAUAUUUGGUAUUUGGAAUCAAUUUCAGGAAUGAAGCAGAAAACUACCAAAAAGGAGGGACUUUGUGAAAAAUAUGGAGACUUCUAAGGGCUUCAAUCCUUGGGCCCUUGAAUUGGUGGGGGACCACAAGCUAGUGAAAGGCAUUUGGUCAUUUGGGCUUCAAAGAAAGCAACGUAGAGAGACUUGGAACAAGAAGUACUUGGGAGGCUUUGUCCACAUGUGUGGGGACCACCUAGAUAGCUUUUAGUCAUCUUUCUUUUGUUGCUUUAAAAGGGGACAACGUACAGAAGCAAAAGAUAUCUAGGGCUUUAGUUUUAGUUUUUAGUUUAGUUCUAGUUUUCUUUCUUUGGACUGGCCUCUGACACACGCCAGGUAUUCGACAAUAUUCCCCAACGGGGAGAUUUUCUCAUGAGGCGUGGUUAAGCUUUUCAAGGGGACACUGACGAUUUGGUUCAAUUUACUGUGAGAUCGAAUCUGUUUUAUUUUUUUCUUCAUUUUGGUUUUUAUAUGUUCCUUGAUUUUAAUUGCUAUGGCCUUGUGUAUGAUUGAUUAGUGCACAAUAAUUAAUUAUUCAUAUAGGCUAUUUUUGCUAAAUAGGGGUAAUUGAAUCCGUAAUUGUUCGUUAUCUCUACCUCAGUAGCAACUGGCGUAAUUGGGUUUAUGUCAGGGGAGCAUAUGAUCUAAUUUAAACAAACCCUCGUAGCGUAUUUGUUGGUUAGGAUUGGGCCUUUCUAAUUAUUAUGCAAUCUAGAAAUUAAAUCCUACGGUCGUACCUAGGGUUAUUUUUGGGUUAGAGAAAUAGCUAACGGUCGUACCUUAGCUAUCGAGAAAUUAAGGAAGGGUUGGUUGUUUAUCGCGUGCAUGACAACUAUAACUAAUCUAUUGCUAAAUGUUGGAAUUAUUUCUGCAUCAAUGAUCAGUGCCUGAACCAUUUCUGAAGUGUACCCUUGGCUAGAGUUUCUCUUAAUUAUUUCUUUUAAUCAAUUAUUUUCUGCACUUGAUUUAUUUAGUUAGCAUUUAAUCCAAGAACCUCCCAUACUCUGGACUCUAGAAGAAACGAAUUAUCCCCAAUCCCUGUGGAUUCGACCCUGCUCGCCGCUAUAUACAAAAUCUGUAUUUUUCUUGAGUAGGUAAUUAUUAUUGCACAGGUUCGGCACCUGUCACCACCAGUUUACAAGUCUCCGCCACCACCUUACCAUUAUUCCCCACUACCACCUCAAACGCAUUCACUCCCACCACCAGUUUACAAGUCACCGCCACCACGUUCUCCAGUAUACAAAUCACCUCCACCACCUCCUCUAGUUUACAAAUCUCCACCACCAUCAAUUGAUAAAUACAAGUCUCCUCCAGUGUACAAGUCAUCUCCACCACCUGCUUACAAGUCUCCACCUCCUUCAGUUUACAGUUCCCCACCACCACCAAUCUACAAGUCUCCACCUCCACCCUACCAUUACUACUACAAUUCUCCUUCUCCUCCUCCUCCUUCUCACUACUAAGCAGUUGUAUCCAAGUUUUUGAGGUAAUAACGCUUAACCAAUAAAUUAACUUUCGCAUGAUAAACCUUAUCCCUAUCAAGACAAACUGCCAUGUGUAUCAUGGCAAAUCCGUACACUUAGAUCCAUGAAAAUGAGUGGUAGAAGGUUUUCUUAAGAACCAAGGAACAGCAAUAGUAUUCCCACUGCUUCCAAAAACUUGUGUAUUAAAUAGAUUAACGAAUUGUUUAACAUGCUUAUCUACUUGAAAAUGCACAAUACCCAUAACCCAUUGAAAUUUUUGCAGGAAAAGGGGAAGAGAAUCUGUGUUUGAGAGCUUCAUGAAGAUGUUGAAGAAUAAGAAUAAAAGCCCAAUGCGAGGAUGUUUUCAAGUUUUUCUAUGUUUCCACUUUAAUUUGUAAAUUGAAUUUUGCGACUCAAUUAAUUCCCUGUUUGUGGGGUACAUAUUGUUUUACGUACCAUGCCGUACAUGUUUGUAAGGAUUUCUAUCCUAUUGGCAAAAGUCGGUUCCAUACAAUUAAUCAAUUCAUUUCACUUCUAUUGGCUCUACUAUUUAUGCAUGUUACGACAUUUUUUCUCUCUUUCCCUUAUAUUUUGCCUUUAAUAUUAUUGAGUCAAUAGUAAAAUUAUACUAUUAUAAAUAGGUAGUUUGGUCUAACGCUAAAUUCAUGUUUGUCUUUCUUUUAUUCCCUUUACAUCUCAAAGUAUACCAUAGUUUGUGAUCAUUGUGGUGAUGAUACACUACAACAAAAAUGGCCUUUCCUGACAUGUCUAUAAGGACACUUGCUGGUUUUUGUCAUUAUAGCACUUCUAUCAUGACAUUUGUUAUCAAUUCACUAAUUUAUACUUUUUUUUAUUUUAUCUGAUAUAAAAAUAAUAAUGUGUCUUUAGAUUUCCUAUCAUGGCAUUUUAGAAAAUGUGAGAUACAACGAAAAAAUUAAAACAUAAAACGAUGUCGUUUGAUUUUGACGGAAGAUUCAUUUGCCAAAACACUUAGUGAAAUCUCAAAACUUUCAUUGUGUCGAUUCUUCUCCUCUCUCUCACAAACCCUCUCUCUCGGCAGACUAUCUCUCAAAACUCCCCCAUUUUGGUUCUUUUGUCUUCCGCCUUCGCCGCCGCCCCACUCCUCCAUUUUCGGUUGCUAACUUGGCCGCUUCUCUGCCCUAUUCGGUCAACCACGACACCUACACCAAUAAGUCUUCGCUCUCUUUGCUAGGACAAAAGGAAUAAAAAAACAGAUACUCAUGUUCUUUCCUUUUUCUUCUUUCCUCUGAAACCGAUCCCCAUGCUUCUCCGUACUGACUAGAUAUUCAGGUUGAGCGUGUUGAGGAGUAGAGUAGGCGAAGGUUGCCGCCAUCGUCUCAUUGAAGUCCAGCCACUACAGCGGAAAUCAUCACUGUAAAGUUUCCCGUACUCUUAUACCUUUUUUCCCCCUUAAUUGUAUUGUUUUCUUCUUUGUCUGCAAUCAUGUCGGUUAUGCUUUACUUUCGUCUUGUUAAUCGAUUUUAAGUGGCUGGAAUUGAUCAUAGGUUUGAGUAGAGUUUUAGAUUUAAAAUUCAAGCUCAGGCCGUAUAAGGAACUGAUGAAAAAGAAAUUUCAAAACUUUUCAUCCUCACUACUUGUUUGUCGGAAGGUUCGAAUGAAGAAAGAAGGAAAUUUGCAAUGGAAGUGAACAGAGAGAGAUGAAAGUGAUUGGAGAGUGAAAUUUUGCCUUGGUGAACUUUUCUUUUGUUUUUGAUCAUCAAGUGCAAUAGAAAAGUACAUUUAGUACAAUUUCCUAACUAUCUUAGAGGAAAUCUUGUUUGGAACUUUCGCUGGAUGCUAUGCAACUUAUUUUUGAUGCUUUGGUCAUGAUUGUUGUUCUGUUUGCUACAGCCCCAUAAGAAGGUUUUUUUUUAAUUAUUAUUAAAAAUUACCGCAUAGCUUGGAUACUUUUGCAUUCCAUGCACCAUGUCAGCUAUUCAUAGCACAUAGCACUAAAGUAGAGCACUCUGUAAUUUUGGAGAUGUUUCAUCUACGCAUUCAAUUAUUUCGAGUUUUUAGUCCAAUGGGUAAUAAAUUGGUUGUACAUCACUUAUUAUGUUGCAUCCCAGUUAUAUUGACCUAGAACAAUUACCAUAUAGACAAAAAGAAGAUAUUAACUGCAGCAAAUUGAAGAAUAAAAAGAGUAUUUGUCAAAUCUUUUCUCCCAACAUCCCUCGUAAUUCUUUCCCCCAACCUCAACUUAGGCACACAUUGUGUCUCUCCUUUUCUUCUUCAAACUAAAUGUUCUUCUCAUGGACAAAUAAGAAUAAUUUGAAUUUAUGAGGAUACAGAGGAAGAGAAUGAAGAUGGAGAAGUUAAUUGUUAUAACUCCAGUUAUGAUAAAGUUGAAGAUGACUUUACAUAAGAUGGAUUAAGUGACUAGUGCUCUAUUGUAAGAUGCUGGGUGCAUAUCUUAAUUUCUUUGAAUUGACUUUAUAUCUCAAAAAAAAAAAAAAUUGAAGGGAUUCUAUAUUUAUUUGACUUGUGUGGUAUUUAUUUGUGUGACUGUCUUGUUUUUUGUCUGCUUUUAUGAUCUAGAGCAUUGAUUACUCUAUAUUUUUAGACAAGAAUAUAUUGUUUUUGUUGUAGAAUUUCUGUAGAAAAAAUACAGAUCUUGCACAUUAAACCCAAUGGGGACUGUUUGCACUAUAAUGCAUUAUGGGCAACUAACAAAUUGGGAUUUGCUAGCCAUUCAAUAUUUUGUAAAUCCUCUGCAGUGUAACAUACUGGAAAUUGCCUUUCAGUUACAGUCUCCAGCGAAGUGUCCUGAUUUAGUCUUUCAAGUUGGAAUGUGACUAAUAGUUUCUUAUCUUUUAAAAGUUUGCCAAUUUCAGGAGGAUUGGUUACAUAGUUUUUUAAGAUUUCUUUCCUCCAGUGGGCACUUAAAAAAAUAGUGAUUAUUGAGUGCUUUGAUCUGUUGAAAUUUAAUUGAAAAUUUUCCGAUCAUUAAUUGACACACUUCAAAAUACUAAUGACUACAUAUGUCAAAGCACAACCUAGGAAAUUAUAUCAGCACGUGCUCCGAUUGUAUGGUACUAAACUUGCAGUGCUUCCACAAAGAAUGUGAAGAGCACAUAUAUACUGAUCAUUGAAAAGAUAGAUUUCUAUUAUGAUUCUGCUAAUGUUUGAAGCACUAAAUGUGAAAUUGCUAUCUAUUUUGAAUGAGUAUCUGUUUCUAUGAAAACUUUGGACAAAUAUGCAUAUGACAAUAGUUUCUAAUGAAGUUACAAACGAUGCUGAACCUUUGGCAUUAUACCAAGAAGGUGUUAAUCAAGUUAACUGGUUACACUUCUAAGCCCUUGCCUGUGGGCAGAAUCUGAGCUAGCUUUAUUCAUUUGUAGCAAGAAGUAAUUUUGCAUGCCAAUGCCAUGCAUUGUUGACUAACCUGUCGCAUUCAGUGUUUGGACAGGUGGGAGUAUAUUGGCGGCACUUGGUUCCUUUCAGCAAAUUUGGUUUUCAAAAUCUGAGUAAGCUUUUACAUCUACUCUACCUUUCAAUAUUCAACUUUUCUUCUUUUUUUCUCCCCAUUUUCAGUCUGUUUUAUCUCUCGAUUAAUAGGUUUGAGGAACAUGGAACUUCUUAUGUUCAAAGAAAAUGCCCGUAAAGUACUUUACUGGUGCGGACAAUUAUCACAUUAGACAGAAAUUCAUGGAGCUGACUUCACUUUGAUUAGUUCGCUGACGGUAUGGGUUGCUCGGUUUUAAUAUCCUGCUUUAUAGGAGCCCAAGCAAUGUACUAUAUAUAUACUAUACCUCUCGCGGAUCGUUGCUAAUGUUGUACAAUUACGUUACCUGACUUUUAGCAUUUCUUUCAACUGGUUAGGGAUGAGAGUCUUUUUGUUUGUGCACAAGAAAGUCUUUCAAGUUAUUGUAAAUGAGAAUCUUUCGGUAAUUUUUUGGGAUUUUAGUACUUGCUUUGAGCAUUUGUUUGCGAUUUUAGUACUUGCUAUGUUUGUACUUGUUAUUGACUUUUAAUUCAAUGAAUUAUAUUUGAGUAUCGACUUCUUCUUUUAAAUUGCUAUAUGCAUUCUGCCUUUUGGGAUAAUUUUACAAGUCCCUUGGGAUUCUGGUUGAUGGAAUGUACAGCAGGGAGGACUAAUUACAGGUUGCUUCCAUAUGAAAAAAAAACAGGAAAAAACUCCUGGCAAUUAGAAGUGUCAGCAUAGCUUAGCUUCAAAAAACACUAAUGACAAAUGGGCAUGUCAUCCAAAGCAGUGUAAAUUCACAUGGCUACGUGUCCUUAAAGCCAUAUAUUAAGACAAUUCAAGAUGCCUUCAUAAAUUGGAUAUACUACUAAUCCGCUACUGAUGUUCUAAUGCUAUACGGACACUUUCGAUUAUCACAAAAAAAAGUUUUUGUUGGCAGAGGGAAUGCUAUAGCAGCAUGGUUUUCCUGACACAUUUGAAUGUUGCCAAAGAUUUGAGGCUAUCCCCACAUUGGAAGGGACAACACUCGCCCUAGGUGUGAGGAUAGAUAAAAUGUCAGGUUAGAUUAUCUAUACUGACACCUUUAAAUGCCGCUAAAGGCCAUUUUUGUUAUAGUGAUAUUACCGGCUGGUACAUAUAGUUUAAGGCAAAGACAUGAUAUUAACCUAUCUCAUUGAAACAUAAGGAAAAAUCAUGACAAGUGUGAGUCUUGGAUAAUGCACAAUUUGUAAGUGGAAUUUAUACUUAUAAAACUCAAAAAAAAAAUUUCACAAUGCUAUUACUAAUUAAUUAAGGACUUUAUUGCUAUAAUUUAUCGCUUACUAGUUUAAACUGUAAAUGAUCUCAAUAUUUUUCUCCGUGAUGUCGAUUUCUUUAGACUACGAAAGGGAAAAAUUAGUGACGUAUCCCCUACUUAGUUAUAAACUUUUCCAGUGGUUUUAAAUCCCUCGGGCUAAGGACGUACACUUGAUCCAUGAAAAUGACUAGUAGAAGAUUUUUUUUAAGAAUCAAAGAAAUGCAUUAUUUUUUCGGUCUGUUUUCAAGAAUUUGAGCAGUAUACAGAUUAAAGAGUGUUUUUUUUUAAACUUGCUUAUCAACAUAGAAAUGCACAUAGCUGAAAGCCAACUGAAUAUUUGCAGGCAAAGGAGAAGGCAAUCGGUGUUUGAGACCGUCAAGAAGAUGUAGAAGAAUAAGAAUAAAAGCCCAAUGCGAGGAUGAUUCCAAGUUUCUACGUUACUAUUUCUACAUCUAAAUUGACUUUAGCUCCUGAGUUCCAUGUUUAUGGGGUUUGUACCGUUUUACGUACCAUGCAGUACAUGCUUGUAAGGUUUUCUGUCCUGUUGGCAAGCCGCAAGUCCAUAUAAUAAAUGAAUACUAUUUAUAUUACGACACUUUUCUCUCUUUCUCUUAUAUUUUGUCUUUAAUAUUGUUGAUCAUUUUUUUUAUCAAAAGUAUCAAAUGCUUAGGUAAUUUGGUCUAAUGCUAAUUGUUUUACUUUUAUUUUUCACCUACAUCCCUUUUCAACUCAAAGGAUGCUACAGUUUGUGAUCAUUGUUUAAGACCGAAGCAUGGUACUAAUAAAUAUCUCAUUGAAAGUCAAGGAAACUAACAUUAUGAAAAGUGUAAAUCUUGAUUUGAUGAAACUAUUUAUUCGUGGAAUUUAGAGAUACAAAACUCAAAUUGUGACGGUGUUGCUGCUAAAUUAUUAAGGACAUUAUCACCAUUAUUUUUCCCUCACUAGUUUCAUCUGCAAUGAUCUCAAUCUUUUUGUAUUGAUCGGUUGUAAUGAAUCGCGAUUGAUUGGUUGUAAUCCGCUUGUAUUGAUCCCACUAUUGUGGAUACUUCUACGCUCAACAAAAAAUAUAUAUAUUAAAGAAUUAGCAAUAUUUUUUAGAACAAGUUAAAUUUAUUCAUACAAAUUAGACAAAGAAGUAUUUUAAAGACCAUGAUGAAAUUAAUACUUCCAAGGUCUCUAUUAGGAAGACUUCCUUGCCUUGAGUUGCAGUUGCGUGCAGAUGUUUAUAUUUCAAAUUGAUGGUAUAGUAAAAAUGUUGAAUUUCUUUAUCCCCGUGACUUCAAAAAUAUGAACUCAAGAAAUUAACUUCUUAACCAGUAUGUCAUACAAGCUUCACAAGAAAUGUAUAACUUUGCAACUAGAGUCAAUAGAAAUCGUCACAUAAUUAUUAAUUUUACAUCGAAAUUAAGCCUGUAUGACAUACUGGUUCGAGGUUUGGCCACGCUACCUUCCUAUUGUUUAAAAAUUCUCACAUAAUCCCUUGUACUUUGGACUAAACUCGAAUGUGAAAAGAAACCAUCCAAGCUAGUUUGGGAUACACUUGUUGCACUUUGAACUAAACUUGAACGUGAAAGGAAAUCCCAAAACCAUAUUGGGCAUGAAUUCACACUUAAUAGACCCAAAAAAAGAUGGCGACUGGUGAUGGAGGUGAAAGGCAGUGGGGACUGGUGGAGAGAUUUGAGGAAUAGAAGCAGACGAAAAAGCAACAAAUUUUUGCCAAAAAACGGUGACUUUCAUGGUUAAUAUUGCUACUCUCUAAUUGUACUUGACCAAUACAACAGUGAAAUUGUAAUUUAUGCUGAAGAUGGAGUUUGAUACGUGAAGAGAAUUUUUUAUAAAUUUUAUUUUGACCCAUAAUGUUAUCUUUAGAUACAAAAAAUAUUUUAAAAUUUUGAUUUUGGCCCGGUUAACUUUUGGUAAACAAAAAAUGCUCAUGCUUAGUGACAGGUUGUCGAUGCCUGUGCAAAAAUAAAAAUAAAUCUAGUUGCCAAUUAAAAUAAUCAGAGCCCAAUUCUGAGUACUGGAGCAGGGACUCUAGGUGUGCAAUGGGUUACUUGAUUCACUCUAUUUCCGAAGAGUUUGCUUAACCCGAUAUACCAGAAUGGGAUUGCUUAUUCAAAAGGAAUUGUUGAUUUGUAAACAGGGCAAGUAGGGUCGUAUUCUCAGGUGGGCUGGCGGUGCGCGGUCAAUCGACGGAGAAAGAGAGGAAAGGACGCGGGUGGAGGUUUUUGGGUUUUGGCCAAGAGAAGAGGGAACGCAGGGAAAGAGAGAGAGAGGGGCGGUGCUCGGGAAGGUGAGCGGCGGACGACGGCUAGGAGGGAAAAGGAGGAGCGGCGUGCGAAGUUAGAGAGGAGGAGGGAGGCGGCAUACGAAGGAAAAAGAAAUCAAGGAAGAAGAAAGAAAGAAAAGAGGAAGAAAGAAAAGAAGAAGGAAAAAAAAUAGUUUUUGGGUUUUUUUUCAAUUUUUUUUUAUUUUUUUGAAUUUAAAUGUCAAAUUUUGAAUUUUUGAAAAAAAAAACUGAAGGUUAAAAAGGAAAAUAAUUUUAUUUUGCUAAAAAAAAAUUUUUAUUUUUUUAUUUUUUUUUGUUUUGGAUCGUCAAACACAGCGUGGGCACGCCAAAAUUAUAAAACGUCCACUGAUCUUGGGAGUCACUGACACGGCGUGGGCACGCCAAGAUUUCACUUCCUGCCAACGUCGCGAGAUGUUGAAAUUGUACUAACAUGGCGUGGGCACGCCAAGAUUGGUAAACAUCCACUGGCCUUGGGAGUCACUUUUUGAGUGUCCUCCUCGCGUGGGCAUGCCAAGAUUCUAUGUCCUGGUCACAUUGGAGAAAAAUAUGAAAAUUGACUAGUACCCAAAUGAAAAACGACAAAUCGAAAGAAUUGAACAACAAAAAAUAAUAAAGCUAAUAUUUGGGUUGCCUCCCAAAAAGCGCCUUUUUUAACGUUUUUUGUUAGACGUUGAACACCACUCUUCAAUUUGGAUGUAAUUCAAUUUUCCUUGUAAUCGGUGGUCCUACUCCGGGUUCCAAAUAAUCAUUGAGUGCAGCCUUCUUUCUUUAUUUUCUAUUCAUUUUCACCUCAUAAAUUGCUUUCAUUCCCUGAUAUUUGUUCGCAAGAAUUUUGAAUUUACCCCUACAACCAAACUCAAAAAAUUCUUGCACAAAGGAAUUAGUAGCAUGAAUAGCAAACACAGAAUGAGAGUUAACAGUAUGUUUUAUUGUAUUAAAAAUAUUAAAAUGGACUAUUUCUCCAUCGAAUUCCAUUGUGAGAGUACCCUUACUAACAUCAAUCUUAGUUUGGAUAGUACUCAAGAAUGGCCUUCCUAAUCUAAUGGAUGAUGGAUUUGGGACACUUUCAUCAUCCAUAUAAAGCACAUAAAAAUCAGCAGAAAAAAUUAAUCCAUCUACUUGCACUAAAACAUUCUCAACUACCCUAUCUGAAUAAGUAAAUAUACGAUUAGCCAAUUAAAUUAUUAUCCCUAUUUCUUUUAAAGAUCCUAAAUUUAGGGAAUCAUAAAUUGAUUUAGGCAUCACAUUAAUAGAAACUCCUAAAUCUAGCAUGGCAUUUUUUAGAUUAGAAUGUCCAAUCUUACAUGGGAUAGUAAACAUACCUAGAUUCCCGUAUUUAGGUGGUAGUUUCCUUUGUAAAAUUGCUGAAAUGUUCUCAUCUACCACAAUAUGCUUGUCCUCCCUCAAUUUCUUCUUGUUGACACACAAGUUUUUCAAGCAUUUAGCGUAUUUUGGCACUUAUUUGAUCGCGUCCAACAAAGGAAUAUUGAUUGCCACCUUGCGAAAAAUGACGGAAUUUUUAUAUCAAUGCAAGUUUAAAUUCGAUUUUAUACCCGUUGACUGCAAGUAUACAGGCCGAAAUUGUAAUGUAGGGUAUGUAUCGGGUCGAUCCCACGAGGAGCAAAUUAAACAAGUACUAAGCCCUUAUUUUUCUCUAUUAUUUAGACUCACAAUAAAUUUGAACAGAGAAAGUAUAUUGCUAAAAUUUACAAAUUUGAUAUACAAAUAUAAUUUAACAAAUGCUAAAUGCAAAAGAAGAAAUUUCACUCAAGGAAGAAUUUAGGGAUGUAGAUUCCACUUAUGGCAUAAACAACACAAAUGAAUGGAUUUACCUCUUAUUAUUAUUCUUGUUUAACUAGGGAUUCAUUUCCAAAAUUAUCAAGUCUCAUUUUCAUGAUGAAAUGGCCUAGACCAAUAUAGUUUUCCCUAUUUUCAUGGUGAAAUACUACUACUACUCUGUUUUAUUUCAUGAAAUGCUGAAUAAUCCACCUAAGUGUAUCUCUAUUUUCAUGAACAUACAACUUAAGCUCUACUCAUUUAUUUCCAUUGUUACUACCAAUUCUCAUUGAAUAAUAACAACUAUAAACAUACUAUUGGUGAUCAAUCAAUAACAAGUAAUCACAACUACACAAGUAAACAAGUUAAUACAAAAUAUAACAAGUGUAAAUCACAUUCAAGUCAUAUUAUUUAGCCAUAAGUUUCAUCUACUUCCUAGAUAAAGAAAAUUAGCUACUCAUGAAUGAUUUAACAAUCAAACUCACAAGUUUAUUAAUGCAAAAUAUCAUAAAGUACAAGUACAAGAAAGAUAAAAGAAAUCUUAGCCAAUUGAUGGUGAAUCCCUCCAAUUUCUGCUAUGUUCUUGUACAAGAUGAUUACAACUGAAAACUCCAAAUGCUUCUCUAAGGACUCCUAGCUAGAGAGAAAAUGUUACAAGAAGGAAAAACUAGCUACGUAUGGUCCUGUCCUGCUUCUCCCCUGUGUUUUUGCAUAAAAGGUAGUAGAAAGUCUAUUUUCCUCUUCAUAAUUUCCUCCAUUCAGAUUUUGUAAAAAGAAGUCAAAGAUAUGAUGUUUCCUUUUUUCUACAACUCAUUUGGUCUUCUCUUUUGUUGCAGAAGCAUGUGCCACCGAUUUCUAUCCCUCAAAAUAGUUGAAAAAAUUGUGAGAAAGGUAAAGAAAAACAGCUGUGUCACUUGCUGAGCAGAGAGACAAAUCCGAGCCUCGGAUCCGGGGGUGAAACUGGAUCCGAGGACUUCCCAAGGUGGAUCCGAGGUCGGAUCGUUCUGACCUUGGAUACACUCCUCCAAAAGUACAUACGAGGGCUCGGAUCCCUCUUGUUCACACGGAUCCGAGCUCGAAUCCGUGUUGAUUAAAUUUUCAGUUUUUCACUUCUUUCCUUUUUCUACAUUUUUGCUCCCAAUUUCUUUUGUACUUUGUCCUCUGGAUGAUCCUUGCAUUUCUUUCAACUUCGUGCACGAAUUUCAUACAUCAAUAACCUUCACAAUUUCACAAAAUUAACUCAUUAAUCCACUCAUUUAUCAAGUUUUGAACACUUAAACAAUAUUUUAAGUAAUUAUCACUAAAAGAGUUCAAAUAUGGCUUUAAUCUUCUCAAAACAUGCCAAAGAUUCAUGCCAAAUCUGUACAAAAUGUACGUUAAAUAUUCACUUAUCAAAAAACCUCUAAAAUCUCCUUUUCUUUAUCUUGCUUCUUUGAUUUCUCUAACCUGCUCGGAAAAGGCGGUAAGUUAGUUCCAACUCUAAUUAUAGAAUCAGGAAUUAUCUUUGGAUUCGCAUUUCUCAUUCCUUCCUCCUCAAGCUCUUUGUCAAUUCAAUCUUCAUUUUUAUCUUUCGGAAUCACAAGUUCGGAUCUCUGAAUUUUCUUCCCGUUCCUUAAGAUCAUUGCACUUACAUUUUUCAGGUUCAGUUCAGGUUGAGACGGUAAUUUUUCAUAAACUUGGGAUUCCAGGCGGUUGAUUGCUAUUGCCAUCUAACUCAUCUGAUUCUGCAUUACUUGCAUCUGUCCCAAUUGAUUUUUCAUACUUUGUAGGUCAGAAUCCAUUUUUUGUUGAUUAGCAAUUAAUUGCUUCAUCAUCUCUUCUAUAGACAGACUUGAGUUUGAAGGAGGUGGUGGCGGGCGAGACUGAUACUGUUAUUGAUACCCUUGCUGUCUAUUUGGUGUAAAAUCUGGCUGCCUAUUUCCUCCAUAGUUGAGGUUGGAAUGAUCUCUCCAACCAGGAUUGUAUGUAUUCGUGUACGGGUCGUAUGGCUUUCUUAGCACGGGCGCGUAACCAGCCAUGUUCACUUGCUCCGUACUUUUCUCUUGAAUCAUUGAGCACAUCUCUGUAGAAUGACCCAUAGCAGUGCAGAUCCCACACAAUUUGGCUCGUGAUGUAUUUCCUAUAGCUAAUUGCCUAACAAAGGAUGUUAAUUCGGUCAACUGCUAUUGGAUGGAAUAUGUCUCUACCUCAUUUACUUUGCGUGUCGGGACAUCUUCCCUCGUAUCAAACUGUUACGAAUUCUCCGUCAUUCCUUCAAUUAGCUCCUACGCUUCUCAAGAAAUUUUGUUCACCAAUGCCCCUUCACUUGCAGCAUCAAUUAUACUCCUGUCUCUAAAAAACAGCCCCUCGUAAAAAUAUUGGAUGAGCAAUUACUCACUUAUUUGGUGUUGAGGGAACUUGAUGCAUAACUUCUUGAAUCACUCCCAAUAAUCAUAAAGCGACUCUUCUAGAUACUGCUUGAUACCGCAUAUCUCCUUCCUUAGGCUUGCAGCUCGAGACGCAAGAAAAUAUUUGUUCAAAAACUUUUUCUUCAACUGAUCCCACGUGGUGAUGCUACUUGGUGGUAAGUAGUACAGUCAGUCUUUUGCGGAGUCCUUCAAGGAGAAGCAGAAUGCUCUCAUUUUUAUCUGUUCUUCUGUAAUUUCCGGAGGUUUCAUACUGUUGCAAACGACAUCAAACUCUUGCAAAUACUUAUACGGUUCCUCACCUGCUAAAUCAUAAAAAGAUGACAAGAGAUGAAUUAGACCAGAUUUUAACUCAAAUGGAGUGGUUAUCAUUUAAAUAUGGAAAAGUAAUACAUAAGGGCUGCUGUUUUAAAUCAGGAGCAGCAAACUCCCUUAGUAUCCGUGCAUUAGCCAUAGUGACUUCUUCUCGAUCCGAGUCACUAGAAGUAUCACUAUGUGAAUCUGUUAGUUCAACUUCUGGCUUAGGUCUUUGAGAUGAAGCACUGGAGUGCUCUUCUCUAAGUUGUCCGGUCUCUUUCCUUAUUUUAUGCGCAGUCUUCUCUACCUCGGGGUCAAAAAUUAAUUCACCUGUAUGAGAAGAAUGAGGCAUAUACUAGGAAAGCACUAGAAAAUUAGAACAAAAAUGAACCUAAAAAGAAACAAAUAAACCAACACCAGUCCCUGACAACGGCGCUAAAAAUUGACAGGUUAUCGAUGCCUGUGCAAUAAUAAAAAUAAACCUAGUUGCCAAUUAAAAUAAUCAGAGCCCAAUUCUGAGUACUGGAGCAGGGACUAUAGGUGUGUAAUGGGUUACUUGAUUCACCCUAUUCCCGAAGAGUUUGCUUAACCCGAUAUACCAGAAUGAGAUUGCUUAUUCAAAAUGAAUUGUUGAUUUGUAAACAGGGCAAGUAGGGUCGUAUCCUCAGGGAUUGGAAAAAAUUUGUUUCUUUUCAAAUCCACAGUAACAAGGAGGUGUUUUUGUAUAAACGAUAACAAUCUAAGGAGUGCAAAUAGAAAUAAAUAGAUAACUAGAAAUUAAAUGACAAUUCACUAAAAUUAGAAUAAUAAUAAUUAAAGGUCUAGCCAAGAAAUAAUUUCAGCAAUGGUUCACCUAAUUGAUCAUCGACGCAAAGGCAAUUCCAAUUAUUUACUAAUAAAUAGAUUAUAACUGUCAAACAAGUGAUGAUAGUCAACCCCUCCUUACUGUAUCAGUGAUUAAGGUAUGUCCGUUAAUCACUGCUAUAAUUGAGAAAUAAUCUUAGGUACGUCCGUAAGAUUUAAUUCCCCAAUUGCCUUACGUAUUAGAGGAGCCCUAUUCUAACCAAAUAACGCACUAUCAGGAUUAUUUUAAAUUAGCCCAUGUAUUCCCUUGAUACAAACCCAAUCAUGCCAGUUGUCACUAUUUCAAGGCAAUGAAACAAUUACGGAUUUAAUGCCCUAAUUGACUAUAGGUUACUAAAUCAAUUCACUAUCUCGAUCCAAGAUAAUCAAUCAAUUUAACAACUAAUAGCACUGCAAUCGGAGAAUAUGUAAAUACCAAUAAAUAAGAGGAAAAGAUAAAAUUAAAUCGAUCUCACAAUUUUUAGACAAACCAAAGCAUCAGUUAUUUCUUGACUAGAAAAGAAAAUUUAGUUCAUUCCUAAUGCGAAAGACCCACGCGAGAAUUCAAAAAUAAUAUUCACGGACAUCGUCUUGAUCCAGUAGAUUCAAUUGCGUUGGAAUAAGGAUAAAAAACCAAACUACAGAGAGUGAUUCAUUGUUUUGUUUCGUCUGCACUUUUUCUACACAUACGGAAGAAGAAAAACAACUAAAGGAUGAAAAAAGAAAAGUCAAAGAAAGCCACCCAAAGUAGUGCUUGGUCUCUACCAUCCUAUUUCCUAUCUAAUUACUACUUCCCUUCUGCGGCUGCCUAGAGGAAGAAAGAAAAGGAGACUCCAGGUCUUGUUCCAUCUCCUCCCUUUUCGGCAAUUCCCCAAAAGUAGAAAAGUUCCUCCGUUUACCAAAAUGCCCCUGGAAUGAGGACCGCUACUUGAACUCAUUUCCUGAUGACUGUCAAAUUGACACUUGUUAUGGUAUUUGCGUUCCACUCCCUGUAAUAAAUGCAAAUUGUCAAAAGUGAGUAAAAUUUGACAAUUAAUUUAAAUCGGGUCAGGUAAUAGGGGAAAUUAAUUAUAAAAUAAAUGAUAAAAUUGUAACCUAUCACUUAGAAUAACUAGAAAUAAAACAAAACAAGAAAUGAAAGAAAUAAGAGGGGUAGCAUAGACAUUUUGGAUUUUUCUGUUAAUUUGGAUGAUUUCCACCCACGGUCUAAUUUAAUCCAAAACACAAAUGGAUUAUGUGGAGGUUUUUAAACAAUGAGGGAGUAUCAUGAUCGAAUUCUAAAACACAAAGGGGAUUUACUAUAUUUUACUCUUAAAUUUUGGUUUCAUCUCAUAGCAUACAAGAGUACUAUUUCACUGUCUGUCGACAAAGAUUUUCUAUGGUUGAUGUACCAUAGGAAAAAUCUGCCUAUACCAUCAUUUGGAAAAAUUAUCAAUCCAAACAUAGCCACCAUAGCAUUUUUUCAAAAACACAAGAUGGAAAAUUGUCCCCUUAAACGUUGAAAUUCAUGAUCUUUCCUCGACCUAGUCUACUUGUCAAUUCUUGAAAAAAGAAUAGUCACGCCUAAAACACGGCCUCUUCAUCUGCAGAAUUCUAAAAAGUUAGGUAAACUCUAUAAACAAGUUGAUAGGUACAAUCGUACCCAAGAUCAAGUACAGGUAUUUGUACAUUCACUGCUGCAAUAACUAAUCUGAUGACUUACAAACACAUCAUGGUCAAUCGUUGAAUGGUAAUGAGUCUUUUGUUAUGCAUUAGUAUUAGUGUGUACACUCUAAUAGAUUGAUACUUAUACACUUUAAAUUAUCAUAAUAAUACCCUUAAUUAACUUUAACUCUUAAAAAGAAUACGUGUUAAUACACGAGAGUGUGUAAUAGAACGGCAAGCAUUAUGGUGGUCAUUGAGCAACUUAUAGGAGAAAUAGUCCUAUAAGCUGUUCAAUGACCAAUCACAACUUGCUAAUUGGAUGACUAAUAUAGCUCUAGCUGUAAUGUUUUAAUUAAAUUCCAUCACUAACGUUGGGAUGACUUUUUAACCAAAAAAAAAAGCCUUAGUUCAAGCUCUUCCCUUUAUUGUGCAUUUUUUAAAACAUUUGAUAGGCACUGCAAAUCUGUCAUUUUGGACAUUUUAUUAUUAACUAACCAUGAAAGCCGUGGACAUCAACCCAUAUCCAACAGAAUAUUAAAUUAAUAUUAGAAAAAAUUAUUAAGUAAUUGGAAAAAAAAAAGAAGAGACUAAUUUUCAUUGAAACCCACCGACAAACUAUACGUGUCCAUAGCUUUUGAUUAGUGCAUUCAACGUUUAAUUGUAUAGUCCAGUUCAUAGCCGAUUACAUGGAGUAAAGAUUGUGCUCUUUCCUUUUUCACCCCUUUUGGAAUCGAUACUGUGGAGAAUUGGGUUUUUCCCUCCUUUUUUUCUUUUCUUUCCUUCUGUGCUUUGCAAAACAUAGGUAAAAAUAUGAAAUCCGAAGCAUUCUUUAAUUGGGAUUAAGUAUUGUUCUUGAAAUUAAAAAGAAGAAAGAAAGAACAACAAAAAUCCCAAUCUGGGUUGAUUGUUGAGCUCUAGUUUGGCGGCAUCGUGCUUCCAUAGAAGUUCUCUUAGUGUGAUACGCUGCUUUCAAUCAGUUUAACACGGGAAAAAGAAAAGACAUGAAAAGCAAAUUUUGUGGGGAUAAUUUCAGAAAUCUCUCCUGAAGUUUUUUACUAUUUUACUGGCCUCCUUUCAAAUUUUAAAAAUUACACUAGUCUUCCUUGAGAUUAUUUAUCUUGUAACAUUUAGGUCCAAUCAAUAAUUAAAAGAUGAUAUUAUGAGAGAGAAAAAAAUAUGAUUUUAUCAUUGCCCCCAUCUUACUACAUUAUUGAAUUAAUUUAAUAGCAACCCACACAUUAAAGAAAAAUACUAAUAUUUGCUGUUUUUCAUUGAAGAUCAAAUCACAUGUGCCAUAAAAUAUAGUAUAUCAUUUUAUAUAUUUCACUUAAUGUAAGAUCCAAAUUAUUCUUUUCAAUUACAAAUCCAUUGUUAUUAUAAAAAAAAAAAUAAACUUUAACAUCAUAAAUAUUCUUAUCAAAAUAUUAAAGUUAGUUACUAAAAUUUUUAUGGUGUUAAAGUUCACUCUUUGUAAUAUUUAUGGGUUUGUAAUUGAAAAGAAUAAUUUGGAUCUUACAUUAAGUGAAAUAUAUAGAAUGAUAUACUAUUUUUUAUGGCAUAUGUGAUUCAAUCCUUGAUGAUAAAAAGCAAAUUCAAGUGUUUUCUUUAAUGUUUGUGCUGAUAUUAGAUUAAUUAAAUAAUUUAGUAGAUGAAAGAAAAUAGUGAAAUCAUAUUAUUUUUUCUUUCCUAAUAUCACUUUUUAAUUAUUGGUUGAACUUAGAUAUUACAAAAUAAUAAAUCUCAAGGGAGAUUAGUAUAAUUUUCAAAAUUUGGAGAGAAGCUAAUGAAAUAAUCAAAAACCUUAAGGGAGGUUUACAGAAUUAUCCCAAUUAUGUGGGAAUUAGAAUAAUUGUACUGGACGGCACUGCUGCAAUAGAGGGAAAGAGGAGAAGGUGCAGUUAACUUUUGUUGUUUGAAAUCCUUGGCGAAAUAUUACAGAAAGACAGAUAAAACGGUGGUUAGUACAUAAAUGUUUAUGACAGGGAAAAUGGUACGUCUGUUAAUCACAUUUGAAACAUUUUCAUUGGUGAAUGACCAAAAGUAUCAGGCUUGUCCAAUAGUUGAUCAUUGACCAAGAUAAAACCUGCCAUGGUAGAGCCGUAGAGGUACGAUCUUUUCGUACCUCUUAGUGCACAGGACAUUCCUUUGUUUCAUCUAGCUAAUAAUCUACCAACUCAUUUCUUCACAAAUGCACCUUUUAUGGUCACGUCUACGAAAGCCUUUACAGGAUCUUUACCCUAAAAAUCAAUUCACCGACUCCCAUUUGAUGUCAGAAAUUCUUCUACUUUACUCCAAGAUUGACUGUUAAUAAUAAUGAGACAAUGACCACUUUGAAUUAGGGGUGCGCAAAAUUAUCUGCUAAUCCGAAAAUCCGUCAUAUUCGAUCUGAUCCGAUCCAAAAAUUAGGAUAUUUGAUUUUUAUUAUUUGAUCGGAUCAAAAGAGGGUCGGGUAUCCGCUAAGAUACGGGGCGAGUUAGAGUCACAUAAUUAAAAAUUCGCGGGUAUCCGAUCCGCCCCGCAUAUAUAUAUUUUUUAUUUUUAUACACACUAUAAAAUAAUAAGUUAGAACCAAAUAAGUAAUUUUAUUGAACAAAUUGCAUUACAAAUAUGAGAGACUAUAGUUUAUUUACAAGAUUCAUUUGUAAAGGUCAUGAUCUUAUAUUUUAUAGAAAAAAGUUUAAUUAAUGUGGAACAUAUAUAUUAAAAAUUGUGCUACUUAUUUCAAACUUUUAUUGAUUUUGAUUUCUUUUAAUUUUUUUCCUUUAUCUUAUAUUCUCUUCAUAUGCUUGUUUCUUGGUGGGAAACCUUUUUUUAGAAAAAAAAAAUUAUUAAAUCUUAGAUGAAUGUGUAAAAUAUAAAAUUAAAUUAGUAUAAAUCAUUUUUUUAAAAAAAUUAAAUGAUAAACGGGACGGAACGGGUACCCGCUGAUCCGACCCUAUCUUAUCGGGUACCCGCUGAUAUGCGGGGCAGGUAAAAAUCAGAAAAUGACUGACCUGUAAGGUGCAGGUCGAAUCAAUCAAAUGGUGAAUGGGACGGGUAUACGACCCGCGCCAACACCUACUUUGAAUUAUCACACCAUCCUUCUUGAUAGGAUUGGUACUAGAGGUAGGGAGGGGAGUCGGCUGCAUCCGGUCUUCUUUUCAUAGAUGUCAUUCACGCAAUAUUAUAUUUCGAAGUCAUUGCAUGGCUAAGCUGCAAAAAAGUACGAACACUUGUUAUUAUAUAGCUUAAGAUUCAAAACGUUAGAGCAUAACCCUCCACCUAACACAAUUGAAUAAUGAAUAUUCACGAUUGUCAAAUCUGUCAAAGCACAGUUUGAGGACAACCCAUUCCAACCUGCAAAAGAUUUUUUACUUUUCUAAAGUUGUUGAGAGCUGUAAAAAGACUUACCAUGCUUACAUCUUCCGAGCCUUGGGAGUUAAAAAUGAAGGCACUGAGUGCUAUAAAAAGGGGGCUAGAGGCUGCCUAGAAGCAUAUCAGCCUAAAACAAGAAUUUGUAGUUAUGAUGGGAAGCAAAGCAAAAGCAAUGGGGUCUGGGCUGACUCCUCUUCUUACCACUCUUUUAGUGGUAUUUGUUGCUCUUGGCUUGCCCUCAGAAACUGCAGCUGAUGAUCACUACAAGUAUUCAUCUCCUCCUCCUCCUUACCACUAUCCCUCACCACCACCUCCAGAGCAUUUACCUCCACCAGUGUACAAAUACAAGUCCCCACCACCACCUCAUCAUGUUUACAAGUACAAAUCUCCACCACCCCCACCACCACACCCAGUUUACAAGUAUAAGUCGCCACCACCACCUCCUCAUCCGGUACCACACCCAGUUUACAAGUAUAAGUCACCACCACCACCUCCUCAUCCGGUACCACACCCAGUUUACAAGUAUAAGUCACCACCACCACCUCCUCAUCCGGUAUACAAGUAUAAGUCUCCUCCGCCACACCACACCCAGUUUACAAGUAUAAGUCACCACCACCACCUCCUCAUCCGGUACCACACCCAGUUUACAAGUAUAAGUCACCACCACCACCUCCUCAUCCGGUAUACAAGUAUAAGUCUCCUCCGCCACCACCACACCCAGUUUACAAGUAUAAGUCACCACCACCACCUCCUCAUCCGGUACCACACCCAGUUUACAAGUACAAGUCACCACCACCUCCUCCCCCAGUUUACAAAUACAAGUCUCCACCACCACCAGUUUACCACUACAAGUCACCACCACCUCCUCCCCCAGUUUACAAAUACAAGUCUCCACCACCUCCUCACCACUACUAAGCAAUUGCUUCUGAGGUAAUAACACUUGUUCAAUAUACCCACUUCUGCAUGAUAAAACAUAUCUCUAUCAACACAAACUGUCAUGUCUAUCAUGCUAAGUGCCUUCACUUCAUCCACCAAAAUGACUGCUAGAAAAUUUUUUUUAUGUUACCAAAGAAAGGCAUCAUUUUUUCCCUCUGUUAUCAAGAACUUGUACAGUAUAUAGAUUAAAGAGUUUUUUUUUAACUAGCUUAUCAACUUAGAAAUGCAUAUAGCUGAUAGCCAGCUGAAUAUUUG